rnacentral:rRNA from 1 species
UGCUUGGGAAACUGAUAGUCUAGAGUGAGGGAGAGGCAGAUGGAAUUGGUGGUGUAGGGGUAAAAUCCGUAGAUAUCACCAAGAAUACCCAUUGCGAAGGCGAUCUGCUGGAACUCAACUGACGCUAAGGCGCGAAAGCGUGGGGAGCAAACAGGAUUAGAUACCCUGGUAGUCCACGCCCUAAACGAUGUACACUAGUUGUUGGGAUGCUAGUCAUCUCAGUAAUGCAGCUAACGCAUUAAGUGUACCGCCUGGGGAGUACGGUCGCAAGAUUAAAACUCAAAGGAAUAGACGGGGACCCGCACAAGCGGUGGAGCAUGUGGUUUAAUUCGAAGAUACGCGAAGAACCUUACCUGGGCUUGAUAUCCUAAGAACCUUAUAGAGAUAUGAGGGUGCUAGCUUGCUAGAACUUAGAGACAGGUGCUGCACGGCUGUCGUCAGCUCGUGUCGUGAGAUGUUGGGUUAAGUCCCGCAACGAGCGCAACCCACGUAUUUAGUUGCUAACGGUUCGGCCGAGCACUCUAAAUAGACUGCCUUCGUAAGGAGGAGGAAGGUGUGGACGACGUCAAGUCAUCAUGGCCCUUAUGCCCAGGGCGACACACGUGCUACAAUGGCAUAUACAAUGAGACGCAAUACCGCGAGGUGGAGCAAAUCUAUAAAAUAUGUCCCAGUUCGGAUUGUUCUCUGCAACUCGAGAGCAUGAAGCCGGAAUCGCUAGUAAUCGUAGAUCAGCCAUGCUACGGUGAAUACGUUCCCGGGUCUUGUACUCACCGCCCGUCACACCAUGGG